UGUAGCCCUUGAAAUUACCUUUCGAAUGAUAUAUAGUGGUUUUUUGGUCAAACAGUGACCCCGAGACUAGUAACCCUCCAUACACAAAACCGCCUACAAAAACUUUGUUUUGAAAAAUUUUGAAAAGUUCAAAAAAAUUUUUUUUUCAAAAACUACUAAAACGUGAUAAGAACUUACUAUAGACCAUGAAAAGUGAUAUCCGAUGAUAAUUUGCAAAAGUUGGUAACUAGUAAAAAAUUUCACUUUUUUACUAGAGUCGGUGCAACGAGAAAAAAAAAAUCCGUGAUGGAGAAAAAUGGCACGUUUUCCACGCCUGUACGCUUUCGUUUUCUAUAUAGGGGGUAGGUGAGCCAGAAGCAUGAAUUUGACUGAGUACGUAUCUUUAUGAAUUGGGCCCUUCUAAAUCGAUUGAGACUACCCCCAGGACGAUCGGACGACUGCUUCUGGCUCAAAAUGUGGUUUUUAGAUUUUGAUCGUCAAUUAUGAGAGAAAAAAUCGAUUAGAAGUAAAGAUACGAAAUGCUUGGUCUAAGUUGGGAAACGACUUCGGAUAUUUGUUGGACGUUGUCGUAGAAGGUCCGAGGACCAAGGAAAAGUGAUUUCCAAGUGGAUUUAUGCACUAUUAGUCGAUGGUAAGAUGUGAAAUUAGUAGAACUUACCAUACAGUUUGCGAAGUUGAAGCAAUCGGUUGGUGAAUAUGGUACUGUCUGUCCAAUUUGGUGGUUCGGAAUGAGUGAAACGAUGUUGAUGAUGGAUAGACGUUCCGAUUGCCCCCGAUCGGGGAACAUAUAGUGGUCUUUAAGGUCCAAGUACCUAUGUUUUGGUAAGCAGAACUGAGAGUUAAAGGAUGAAAGUCGGCCAUUCCUAAUAUCAUCCUAUCGGUGGUUCGCGAGUUGUUUGAGGACCGGAGCAGCUCGCGAUGAAACGGUCCUAGGGUAUUGGUUAUCCAUCCAAGGAAGAGUAAAUGCGAUCCUAGAUGUGUGUCGUUGGCCGUUCUACCGGUAUCGCCUAUCGAUGAGAUAUCGACGGGCAUGCCUUACUCGAAAGUUGAAUUCUAGGAUCGAUGGUCAAACAGACCUAUGAGCGAUAAACCAAACUGAACACGUAUUGAUGUCGGCUUUUCCUAUCAUUUGAUGCCGCAGGUUGUUUAGGGACCGGAGCAACUUGCGGCCGAGACGGUCCCCGGGGGUUUCUUUCUCCAAGGAGUGGAAACUAUUAAGCAAGAGUUGUAGCAAGAUACGAUCCUCUGAUGUGUCGUUGGCCGUUCAUGCGGUAUCGCCUGUCGAUGAGAUAUCGAUGGGCAUGCCUUACUCUACCGACCUUCUAAUUGAGAGUAUUAAUCAGGGAUCGAUGGUCAAACAAGACCAAUGAGCGAUAAACCAAACUGAACACGUAUUGAUGUCGGCAUUUCCUAUCAUUUGUCGCAGGUUGUUUAGGGACCGGAGCAGCUUGCGACCGAGACGGUCCCCGGGGGUUUCUUUCUCCAAGGAGAAGAAACGAUUAAGCAAAAGUUGUAGCAAGAUACGAUCCUCUGAUGUGUCGUUGGCCGUUCAAGCGGUAUCGCCUGUCGAUGAGAUAUCGAUGGGCAUGCCUUACUCUCCCGACUGGAUUACUGAGAGUUUAAUCAGGGAUCGAUGGUCAAACAGACCAAUGAGCGAUAAACCAAACUGAACACAUAUUGAUGUCGGCAUUUCCUAUCAUUUGUCGCAGGUUGUUUAGGGACCGGAGCAGCUUGCGACCGAGACGGUCCCCGGGGGUUUCUUUCUCUAAGGAGUGGAAACGAUUAAGCAAAAGUCGUAGCAAUAAUCGAUCACCUGAUGUGUCGUUGGCCGUUCUUGCGGUAUCGCCUGUCGAUGAGAUAUCGAUGGGCAUGCCUUACUCUCCUGACUGUUUAAUUGAGAGUUAUAAUCAGGGAUCGAUGGUCAAAAAGACCUAUGAGCGAUAAACCAAACUGAACACGUAUUGAUGUCGGCAUUUCCUAUCAUUUGUCGCAGGUUGUUUGGGGACCGGAGCAGCUUGCGACCGAGACGGUCCCUUCCCGAAAGAUGGUGAACCGAGUCGUCUGGCGUAAAAACCGGACGACUCGAAAGGGCUUGACCCUUUCAAGUGAGCGAUAAUCACAUUCUACGCUCAGUUCGACAGCUACAAGGCAAUCACUCGCUAUGUUCAGAGCUAAUACAUGCAACAUGCCGGCAUUGUUUCCACCGACGCAUGGAUUCAAGACUGGUGCACUUAUUAGUUAAACCGUUCGCCUCCGGGUGUUUCGAGUUCAAGUCUGGAUGAGGAUUGAUCUUGCUGGUAAUAGCUUGAGCCCUUAAGGGGUCGAAGCGUACAUCUUGAGACCAUGUACAACAUAUUACCAAAUCGGCACCAUGGGUUCUGGUGCAAGUGAUGUAACCGUGAAAGAUGUUGAGCAGCCCAACAUCGGUUUACACACGCAUAAUAGGAAGGCAGCGCUGUCGACUGGUCAGUCGUGUAAGAAGUGUGCAUUAUCGAUCACAAAUAUAUUGGUGAUCUGUAGGUUGCGCAUACACCAUGCCCGGUGUAAAGUGCCGUGGUCCCCCCCGGGGGGCUGCAUCAAACCGUUCGCCACGCGAACUACCCAAUGGAACGAACUCGAUGCAUUUAAUAAGAAGAAGAGAUGAUAAUGAAACACGGUCGAUUUAAGAGUUGAAAACGUUGAAAUGCCUAUAAGCAAGUCUUAAGUUGGUGGUGACCGUUACGCCCCAACAAAUUGGUGCCUUACCCUACACCAAAGAGCCAUUCAACAUGGUUCAAGUGAGCGAUAAUCACGCUCUACGCUCAGUUCGACAGCUGCAAGGCAAUCACUCGCUAAGUUCAGAGCUAAUACAUGCAACACGCCGGCAUUGUUUCCACCGACGCAUGGAUUCAAGACUGGUGCACUUAUUAGUUAAACCGUUCGCCUCCGGGUGUUUCGAGUUCAAGUCUGGAUGAGGAUUGUUCUUGCUGGUAAUAGCUUGAGCCCCUGAAUAAGGGGCCGAAGCGUACAUCUUGAGAGUAAAUGUACAACAUAUUACCAAAUCGGCACCGUGGGUUCUGGUGCAAGUGAUGUAAC